rnacentral:rRNA from 1 species
GUACACUCCUGCGGGAGGCAGCAGUGGGGAAUUUUGGACAAUGGGCGAAAGCCUGAUCCAGCAAUGCCGCGUGAGUGAAGAAGGCCUUCGGGUUGUAAAGCUCUUUUGUCAGGGAAGAAACGGUGAGAGCUAAUAUCUUUUGCUAAUGACGGUACCUGAAGAAUAAGCACCGGCUAACUACGUGCCAGCAGCCGCGGUAAUACGUAGGGUGCAAGCGUUAAUCGGAAUUACUGGGCGUAAAGCGUGCGCAGGCGGUUUUGUAAGUCUGAUGUGAAAUCCCCGGGCUCAACCUGGGAAUUGCAUUGGAGACUGCAAGGCUAGAAUCUGGCAGAGGGGGGUAGAAUUCCACGUGUAGCAGUGAAAUGCGUAGAUAUGUGGAGGAACACCGAUGGCGAAGGCAGCCCCCUGGGUCAAGAUUGACGCUCAUGCACGAAAGCGUGGGGAGCAAACAGGAUUAGAAACCCCAGUAGUCCCAUG